GAUGAACGCUGGCGGCGUGCCUAAUACAUGCAAGUCGAGCGAACAGACGAGGAGCUUGCUCCUCUGACGUUAGCGGCGGACGGGUGAGUAACACGUGGAUAACCUACCUAUAAGACUGGGAUAACUUCGGGAAACCGGAGCUAAUACCGGAUAACAUGUUGAACCGCAUGGUUCAACAGUGAAAGACGGUCUUGCUGUCACUUAUAGAUGGAUCCGCGCCGCAUUAGCUAGUUGGUAAGGUAACGGCUUACCAAGGCAACGAUGCGUAGCCGACCUGAGAGGGUGAUCGGCCACACUGGAACUGAGACACGGUCCAGACUCCUACGGGAGGCAGCAGUAGGGAAUCUUCCGCAAUGGGCGAAAGCCUGACGGAGCAACGCCGCGUGAGUGAAGAAGGUCUUCGGAUCGUAAAACUCUGUUAUUAGGGCAGAACAAAUGUGUAAGUAACUAUGCACGUCUUGACGGUACCUAAUCAGAAAGCCACGGCUAACUACGUG
rnacentral:rRNA from 1 species